UUUUCUUUCUGUUUCUAAAACUCACUUUCACUCUUUUAAGCUAAAAAAAUCUGUUUGAAGGUUUCAGUUUACAAUUCACCUCCAUAGAAAAGGAGGAAAUUUAGCAGAAAACCUCAAAUUCUGAAACUGGUGAGUCUUUGUUCUUUAAAUUGGACAGCACUGGAUGAACUGGUGAUUUACACAGGCUACUGGUUUUGUAAACUGGUGCAGCUGCUGCUGGUUCUCAGGUUAGUCAGAGUUAUGUCGCGGUGUUGUUUGAUAAGCUGCUCGGCAGACACAGACCUCCGACCUCGGAGCUGAAGCUAAAUCGUAGCAGGAAGAGGUGGAGCAGGAUGUGAGCUUGAAACUUGCUGUGCGAAACAAACUCGGUGCAGAGACAAAACAAACGUCUGCUUCAAAGACACAAACUGUUCAUACAUGACGACUGACACAUGAAACAGGUUCAGAUCUUUCCUGCCAGGAUGGUUCAAGAACUGAAGCAAUAAAACUUUCUUUCGACUUCACCUCUUCUGUUGUGACGCACUUGUUUCUGCUCGACCCCGCAGUGCAGCGUACCAAACGUCACAAUGACACAACUUCCUGAAAACAAACGUUACUGAUACAGUGGCUUUCUUUAAGCCUAAAUUUUAAUCUCAUGACAGACUGAGACAUUUAGAAAAAGCUAAGAGUCAGAUCGAGAACAUGGAAAUGUUUGCUGUAAUUACGUCACUCUGCUCCACUUUGAUGUUUGCCGUGUUCGUCUCUGCAGACCAGAAAAACAUCACAGCUGAGUGUGGACAGGACGUCACUCUGACAUGUCGAGCUCCAAACAACAACAACAACAAGAUCAUAGUUGUAGAGUGGAGCAGAGCUGACCUGGAGCCACAACAUGUUCUUUUGCAGCAGAAUGGGCAGUUUGAUCAAGAAGGGCAACAUCCAUCUUUUAAGAACCGGGUGGAUCUGCGGGACAGAGAGACAAAGGAUGGAGACGUGUCUUUGAUUCUGAAGAAUGUGAUGAUUAAUGACACUGGAACAUACGAGUGUCGAGUUCAGAGACAAAGAGAAAGUUUAAGUCUCAUCACCAGUGUCUACCUUCAUGUUGUUCCUCCAGGUCAAUCAGGAUGGAAAGUCGGUCUGUCAGUUUCUGCUGUGCUUCUUCUUGUUGUUGCUGUUGUUGGAUUUUUGAUCUACAGAAGACAUAAACAACAACAGAAUCAGGAUUUAUACCAGUGUCCUGAUGAACUGCAGCCUGUUUGAAAUGAACUCUGUGUCUCCUGCUGCUGUUCAGACUCUCUGUGUUGUCAGUGAACAUUCAGGUACAGACAGACAUCCUAUUUAUAUUGAAACAAACACACUUCACAGGGAAAUCAGAAAUUAAUUAACCAUAACAAUAAACUACUGAAAUAAUUUUUCUUUGCUCAGGAAUACAAGUAAAUCACUAUAAUUUAGCAUCUUAAUCAACCAAAAAAAAUAAUAUGAUUUAGUUCGUUUUUUUUAAAUUUCUGCUUUUGUUGUAAAAUAGUGCAUUUGAAAAUUCAUGCAUAGCAACAAUAAUUGAAAUUUUAGCAUUACAAAUAUGUAUUAAUCCACAGGUGCAAAACUCCAAAAGUUACUGUUAUGCUGCCAAACUGGUUCAAAAACAGAUAUCAGCUGAAAAACAAUUGUGUUCUCUGCAUCCUGAGGUUUCAGAGUGUGUUAACCAAACAGUAUAAAGUACAUAAGUUAAAAAGAUUCCUGUGUUAUGACUAACAUGGCAUUCAUGGUAGCCGCUAUGUUAAGGUGUUACGACCCGGCUCGAAAUGACCGUAACAAGAGCGGGGUGUCCCGCGACUUCCCAUGCCCAAACAGACACAGCCACAGCAUCGGACUUUUAAGAAUAAUUUAUUCACAGCAAUGGCACUCAAUACAGCGGUAGCGGGAGUGUAUGAUUUCAGGGUGAGCUAAGGCCAACACAACAAACAAAACCCAACCUAGGCUUCGGUUCCCCUUUGACCUCUUCAAGAAAAUAAAGAAAGAAAUGACACAGUCUGACCUCCCUGGUCUAGCAACACAGGAGAAAACGAGGCUUCCCAAAAUAAUCGGCAGCUCAACCUUACUUGCUCCACACUUCACACACACGGCUGAAUUCAACUAGGUAGCUAUAACUGUAGCCGCUCCAUCUGGACCUGCGGCAAGCACACGGGAAGUUUUCCACACCCCGCGGCUCUUCCGUCGUCCUUUUAUUGAUUACGUCCACAGCCGGAGCCAGUUACAUCAGGCCGUGCCUUCCGUCCACCAAUCACAGCCGAGCCCCUGCACAGGUGAAUUAGCAUACACACAUUAAUAAACAAACAAACCAACAACACGCGCACAUAACACCCCCCCACCAUAAGAAUUAAAAAAUUCCUUGCUUGUUUAAUUCCUGUCUGUUUAGACUGCUCUGGAUAGGGCAUCAGCGGCGACAUUAUCGAGGCCCUUUUUAUGACUAAUUUGUAUGUUGAAGUCUUGUAAAAGGAGGGACCAGCGCAUGAGUCACUGAUUGGAGUUUUGCAUUCGCAAAAGAAACACAAGCUGGUUAUGAUCUGUGAAAACUUGAUCAUAACCUGUGCCAAACUGUGUUUCAGCCAAACUCUGUAAAGAUAUGUUCAUUUAUUUUGAAAUCAUUUGCACUUUUUAAAUAAUGUUUUAUGUAACUUCAUUAUUUUUGUUUGGGAAAUGUUUUGGUUUAUUUGAUUUGUAUUAUGUUUGUGUAGAUCAGAAUCAGAAUACUUUAUUAAUCCCUGAGGAAAUUAUGAGUGAGGUUAAUGAGUGAAUGGAUUCAUUACUAACUGCUAGAAAUAAUAUUAAAGUUAUGCAACACUCUCUGAAAUUAGAGCUAUACAGCACUGUCCCUGUCUUUCCCUCCCUCUAGUCUGUCUUUCUUUCAGGUCUUGUUGUGGUUCCUCUGCCAUCUGUCAUCCAAAGCACAGUUUGAGUCCGAUUCUCUCUGUUAAUCCACACUUUCACAGAACUGGCUCUUGAGCCUGUGUGGUGCUUGCUCUCUUUAACAUUAUCAUGAAACAUAUUCAGACUGUGUUAGUGUGACUCUGUGAACUACUGUGUGUGUUCGUCUGUGAAAAUUUCAUUAAAUUUGUUUAAAGGAAGAACAAAACUGUUUUGCAUGAACUCACAUGUUCAGUGUUCUCACCCAAUGAUUCAUGAAAUCAGAAUCAGUGUGUGUGUUUGAUAUUUUUUUUUGUAUUACCUUUACCCACAAUGAUACCAUAUAAAGCACCUUGAGGUGACUUGUGAUUUGACACUAUACAUAUAAAAUUGAAUUAACUUCAUGUUCAGCAGCUGUUUAUAACAUUAAGCUUCUUCUGUGAGGCUUGAAACACACAAACCUCAUGUAGAAAUCAGCUGUUACAGAAUAUUUACAAAUACUAACUGAGCCAACUGACAACAGAAACAUUUUAUGUGAUUAUGAACAUAUAAAAUACUAUGAAUUAUAGCUCAUCAAUAAUCUGAUAGUGUUCAGGAUCCCUUUGUCAGUUGUAACUCAAUGACUGAGUGUUACACUGUCAUUAAACUAAAGGGAAAAUGUGUUAAAUGUAGCUGCAGAGUCAGACGUUUCCUCCCUCGAUCCUUGAAGCUUUAUUUAAAUCUUCCUUCCAUUGUGGAAGCAGAUUUCUUUUCUGUUGUAUUAAUCAUGUAUUUAAUCAUUUCACAUUAUUAACAGUAAUUUCACUUUCUCACUUAGUUGUAUGCAUGUUUACUACAGAGGGGCUUUAUGCUCUACACACACAGUGAGGCCAUUGUAAUGGGAGAUGCUAAAAACAUAGUGGGCCAACAUGUUAGAGUUUGAGGAAUGUUCUUUGUCUGUGUGUCUGUAUAUAAGAUGUAAGUGCGCUGGCCACAAUCCAGAGAUGGUCCUGGUGUUUCACUGGGAUGCUCUCUCCACAUUGCUAUGUGUUUAUUAAACCCACUUCAAAUCAAGCUCACUGGGUGUGUUGCAGGUUAUCAUUACAUUUUCCACACACCAUCCAUCCUCUUCUACUUAUUCUUGUCGUGGCCACAUGAGGUGGGGCUGGAUCCUGUCCCCAGCUACCAUUGGGUGAGGGGAAGCAUACACACUGGACAGGUUGCCACCCUGAUGCAGGGCCAACACAGACAGACAACCAUUCACGCUCACAUUUACAACUAUGAGCAAUUUAAAUUCACCAAUUAGCCUGAUCCCACUAACUUUUGUAACUCUUCCUUGCAUGAGAAAGGAUCUUCAGUCUGCUAAUUUAACUAGAACAUUUCAAGAGCUGUUUACACUCUGAUGAUUUAUUUUUUUUUCAUCCAUGACUUUGUCCAUUACUUAAAUAUACUUAAGAUUUGCAUAUAUUGGCACAGAAUGUUUGUAGUCAUUAUUCAUUUGUUUUAUGUGGCUGUAAAAAGUUUUCAGACCUGUUCAACCAGCUGAUCCAGAUGCUUUGUGAUCUAGAAUCAGCCCAAAUAAACUGCUGAGCAGGCAGGAAGAACAGAGGUAACCAAGAAAAACAUUCAAAUCCUUUUGAGAUUGUCCCCAUGGGAUGAGAAUGAGCAUAGCGUGUGGACUGCUAAUUUAUCAGCUAAUGCUAAUUAUCUUUGUUUAUCAUCCUCCACCCACAGACUGUAGACUGUACAUGUCAGAUAAACUCCAUUUCUUACUUUGUAUGUCAGCUCUCAAUCUUUUCUUUUUAACAGCACAUGUGUGGAUCAGCAAAGUACAGACUGGAAGCAGAAAGUACUUUUUAAUGCUGACUGUGUUUAUGAAAUAUCUUCACUGUACUACGGAAUAAACAGUUUAUAGUAGAAGUAUUCUAA